rnacentral:lncRNA from 1 species
UCCAAGAGCGGGAGGUUGAAGGAUGAGGUUGCGCUUUACGGAAGUGUUAGAAUGGCCUUGUGAAACUUGCUGGACAAUUAUAGAAUCCUGUUGCACAGUUAGAGGGGCACUGUUGUAGUAAGGCUUCAGUGUUUAUAUACUGAUGUCUCACUAUUACAUCGUUCACAUUAAAAGUGAAGUCAUGAAGGCAGUGAUUCUUAGUUUCCCAGGGUUAUCAUUCUCCAAGAGAAAAGGCAAAAAAUAGUCCAAAUAAAAAACAAAUUAAAUUGUAUCACUCUGCUGUAUGUACUGGUCCUCAUGCAUUUUUCUUUCAUUUAAAUUCAGAAGAGAAAACGUUUUCUCAACAACUUUUCUAGUUCUUUGUUUCUUUUCUUCUAUAGUAUAGUCUGGCUGCCAGUAGAAGCUUUUUGGGACAUGGAAGAGCAUACAUGUCUUUUCAGGAUAGAACAGAGGGAAGGGAAACUGUUGUUUAUUGAAUGUCUGCUAAUGUGCUAGGUACAUCCUGUAAUCCCAGGGUUCUGUAGAGCAACUUUGGGAGAGAGAUGUUUGGCAUUGUGCCUGUUAUGGGGAGAUGAGGACACUCACUGAGAUGAAGAAAGAAAACCAGUGAGCCCAGGGUCCCAGAGCCAGUGAGUGGUGUGACUGGGUCCACAUGUCACAUGCUGGGGAAGGGAAAAGGAAGCUACUCACACUUUUCCCCCUACUCAGGAUGCCACUUUUCAAGCCUCCAGACUGGGUGCCAGACCUAGAUGGAAUUCCCUGGCGUGUGUUGUGCAUUUGGGCUGGGGCAGGAGAACUUAACUGAGGUUUCAUUGUACCUCCACUAUGAAGAGUAACAGGGCUGCACCUGCUGUCUUGUCCUUCUGCCCCUUUAAUGUCAGCACUUUUGCCAUAAACUUACAUUUCUUGCUUAAGUAUUUCUUCUGAAAGCAGUUUGUACCAUAAGGUACUUGGGCAAAAGAAAGUAGAGAGACAUUAGGAAAUCUAGAUUCCAGCCAAUUCUGCUACCAAUUUUGUUAGUUAAGUCAUGGUGUUUAGUAGAUGAGAGUGAAAGAUAUCAGAUUUGUCCAAGUUGCCAGAGAUGGAAAAUGGAUUCUCUCAAAAUCUCUGCUCUGCCAUCCCCUGCAUCAUUAUUUUAGGGAAAGUAUCAUGGGAAAAGAAGUAAAUGAUUUAAGAAACAUAGUGUGUUUGAGUUUGUGUGUGUAUGUAAUAUGCAUAUGUUUUUGUGUAUAUGUGUUGGCGUGGAUUUUCAAGACCUCGCUAGGGUCUUACCAUCUUAAGUCAGAAAAACUGAUAAUCAUCCUUUGAUUUUCCUGUUCAACUAACAUUCAUAGAUAGAGCAGCC